UAGUCCACGCCGUAAACGAUGAUAACUAGCUGUCCGGGCUCAUAGAGCUUGGGUGGCGCAGCUAACGCAUUAAGUUAUCCGCCUGGGGAGUACGGUCGCAAGAUUAAAACUCAAAGGAAUUGACGGGGGCCCGCACAAGCGGUGGAGUAUGUGGUUUAAUUCGAAGCAACGCGCAGAACCUUACCUACCCUUAACAUUUCACGCUCGCCUCAGAGAUGAGGUUUUCUCUUCGGAGACGUGAGGAUAGGUGCUGCAUGGCUGUCGUCAGCUCGUGUCGUAAGAUGUCUGGUCAAGUCCAAUAACGAGCGCAACCCUUAUCCUUAGUUACCAGCAUUGAGUUGGGGACUCUAGGGAGACUGCCGGUGUUAAACCGGAGGAAGGUAAGGAUGACGUCAAGUCAGCAUGCCCCUUAUGCUCUGGGCUACACACGUGCUACAAUGGCCGUGACAAAGAGUUGCUACUUUGUGAAAACAGCUAAUCUCAUAAACGCGGCCUCAGUUCGGAUUGCG
rnacentral:rRNA from 1 species